UCCUGGUUCUGUACUUUAAAAAGAGGGAAAGUCUCUCUGUAUGAAAUAAAAACACAGGUCCUCACUCCCCCAAAAGGAGAGUGAAAGAAAGCAGGGAAGG